AUUGAACGCUGGCGGCAUGCUUUACACAUGCAAGUCGAACGGUAACAGGCCGCAAGGUGCUGACGAGUGGCGAACGGGUGAGUAAUGCAUCGGCACGUGCCCAGUCGUGGGGGAUAACGCAGCGAAAGCUGCGCUAAUACCGCAUACGAGCUAUGGAUGAAAGCGGGGGACCGUAAGGCCUCGCGCGAUUGGAGCGGCCGAUGUCAGAUUAGGUAGUUGGUGGGGUAAAGGCUCACCAAGCCAACGAUCUGUAGCUGGUCUGAGAGGACGACCAGCCACACUGGGACUGAGACACGGCCCAGACUCCUACGGGAGGCAGCAGUGGGGAAUUUUGGACAAUGGGCGCAAGCCUGAUCCAGCAAUGCCGCGUGCAGGAAGAAGGCCUUCGGGUUGUAAACUGCUUUUGUACGGAACGAAACGGUCCUGGUUAAUACCCGGGGCUAAUGACGGUACCGUAAGAAUAAGCACCGGCUAACUACGUGCCAGCAGCCGCCGUAACAC
rnacentral:rRNA from 1 species